rnacentral:rRNA from 1 species
CCUACGGGUGGCAGCAGUGGGGAAUAUUGCACAAUGGGCGCAAGCCUGAUGCAGCCAUGCCGCGUGUGUGAAGGAGGCCUUCGGGUUGUAAAGCACUUUCAGCGGGGAGGAAGGCGUUAAGGUUAAUAACCUUGGCGAUUGACGUUACCCGCAGAAGAAGCACCGGCUAACUCCGUGCCAGCAGCCGCGGUAAUACGGAGGGUGCAAGCGUUAAUCGGAAUUACUGGGCGUAAAGCGCACGCAGGCGGUCUGUCAAGUCGGAUGUGAAAUCCCCGGGCUCAACCUGGGUACUGCAUUCGAAACUGGCAGGCUAGAGUCUUGUAGAGGGGGGUAGAAUUCCAGGUGUAGCGGUGAAAUGCGUAGAGAUCUGGAGGAAUACCGGUGGCGAAGGCGGCCCCCUGGACAAAGACUGACGCUCAGGUGCGAAAGCGUGGGGAGCAAACAGGAUUAGAUACCCCGGUAGUC